UACGGGGGGAGCAAGCGUUGUUCGGAUUUACUGGGCGUAAAGGGCGCGUAGGCGGCCACCGCAAGUCGAUUGUGAAAUCUCCGGGCUUAACCCGGAAAGGUCAACCGAUACUGCGGGGCUAGAGUGCGGAAGGGGCAACUGGAAUUCUCGGUGUAGCGGUGAAAUGCGUAGAUAUCGAGAGGAACACCUGCGGCGAAGGCGGGUUGCUGGGCUGACACUGACGCUGAAGCGCGAAAGCUAGGGGAGCGAACGGG
rnacentral:rRNA from 1 species